rnacentral:antisense_RNA from 1 species
CUUAAUCGACCCCAACCACAGCGGCUCGGCUCGAUCCUGCCCAUAGGUGGCCAACAACGCCUGCGCCUC